CUUUAUUGAUAUUUAUCAUAUAACCUAAAAACCUAAGAGAGAAAUUCGAAUUCCUCCAAGACCUAACUUCAUUUCAGAAUAUAAACUUCAAUUCUCCAUGUUUUAAGGCUUUAGGAAGAGUGGAAAAUCGAAUUGGUGCUCGUUUUGGCAACGACGGUGCAAGUAGAAAGUAAGGCAGCUUUUGACGAUAUUUUGGACUAGUUUGGUUGUUGUGUGUUAGCAAGGCAAUCUACAGUACAGUUGACUAGAGAGGGAGUUGGGCUUAGAGUUUGGGCUUGAGACAUAGAGGUUGGCCACAUCUCCGAGUUUAGAGAUGCCUUGAUGUUUUUGUUUAGAAUAAACUUAUUUGUAC